CCUCUUGUAGAAAGCAGCCUCCUUGAGAGCAGGAGAGCAGCAGGCUGUCUGCUGUGUGGCUGCUGAAGGGCGUUUCUCCCCAGCUGAGAUCCCUGAGCCCACGCUGGCGGAGAACGAGCUGCGCCGCGGUGUCUUCAGUGGAGCCACUUUGCAGCUUCUCUGUGCGCUCGCUGCGAUCGUGCCCGUUUCCAGGUGCCAUAAGCCAGACUCGCGCAGUCCUGGGAGACUGAGACUUGGGAGACAGUGCAGAAACCCAAGGCAAGUGCUGCUCGGCUGAGGAAGAAAGCCAAGAAGGAAAGCAAAA